CCCUGGUUAGCUCAGUUGGUAGAGCACUCCACCUGUAAUGGAGAGGUCUCGCGUUCGAUACCCGGACCAGGCG
rnacentral:tRNA from 1 species